rnacentral:rRNA from 1 species
UACGUAGGGUGCAAGCGUUGUCCGGAUUUAUUGGGCGUAAAGAGCUCGUAGGCGGUUUGUCGCGUCGGAUGUGAAAACCCAGGCUCAACCCUGGGCCUGCAUUCGAUACGGGCAGACUAGAGUAUGGCAGGGGAGACUGGAAUUCCUGGUGUGGCGGUGAAAUGCGCAGAUAUCAGGAGGAACACCGGUGGCGAAGGCGGGUCUCUGGGACCGAUACUGACGCUGAGGAGCGAAAGCGUGGGGAGCGAAACAGG